rnacentral:rRNA from 1 species
UGAGUAACGCGUAGGAAUCUGCCUGAUAGUGGGGGAUAGCCCGAAGAAAUUCGGAUUAAUACCGCAUAAUCUAUUCGUAGUAAAGUGGGGGACUUUUAAGCCUCACGCUAUCAGAUGAGCCUGCGUAAGAUUAGCUAGUUGGUAGGGUAAAAGCCUACCAAGGCAACGAUCUUUAGCUGGUCUGAGAGGAUGAUCAGCCACAUCGGGACUGAGACACGGCCCGAACUCCUACGGGAGGCAGCAGUGGGGAAUAUUGGACAAUGGGGGCAACCCUGAUCCAGCAAUACCGCGUGUGUGAAGAAGGCCUGAGGGUUGUAAAGCACUUUCAAUUGUGAAGAAAAGUUAACGGUUAAUAACCGUUAGCCUUGACGUUAACUUUAGAAGAAGCACCGGCUAACUCCGUGCCAGCAGCCGCGGUAAUACGGAGGGUGCAAGCGUUAAUCGGAAUUACUGGGCGUAAAGCGUGCGUAGGCGGUUUAUUAAGUCAGAUGUGAAAGCCCCGGGCUUAACCUGGGAACUGCAUUUGAAACUGGUCAACUAGAGUAUGGUAGAGGAAAGUGGAAUUUCUGGUGUAGCGGUGAAAUGCGUAGAUAUCAGAAGGAACAUCAAUGGCGAAGGCAGCUUUCUGGACCAAUACUGACGCUGAGGUACGAAAGCGUGGGUAGCAAACAGGAUUAGAUACCCUGGUAGUCCACGCCGUAAACGAUGAUAACUAGCCGUUGGG